rnacentral:rRNA from 1 species
AACGAACGCUGGCGGCAUGCCUAACACAUGCAAGUCGAACGAGACCUUCGGGUCUAGUGGCGCACGGGUGCGUAACGCGUGGGAACCUGCCCUUAGGUUCGGAAUAACUCCCCGAAAGGGGUGCUAAUACCGGAUAAUGUCUUCGGACCAAAGAUUUAUCGCCUUUGGAUGGGCCCGCGUUGGAUUAGCUAGUUGGUAGGGUAAAAGCCUACCAAGGCGACGAUCCAUAGCUGGUCUGAGAGGAUGAUCCGCCACACUGGGACUGAGACACGGCCCAGACUCCUACGGGAGGCAGCAGUGGGGAAUAUUGGACGAUGGGCGAAGGCCUGAUCCAGCAAUGCCGCGGGAGUGAUGAAGGCCUUAGGGUUGUAAAGCUCUUUUACCCGGGAUGAUAAUGACAGUACCGGGAGAAUAAGCUCCGGCUAACUCCGUG